rnacentral:rRNA from 1 species
AUUGAACGCUGGCGGCAGGCCUAACACAUGCAAGUCGAACGAGUGACGAACGGGUGAGUACUGUCUGGGAACCUGCCCGUUAGAUGCGGAUAACUACUGGAAACGGUAGCUAAUACCGCAUACCAUCGGAUGUGCCCAGAGGGGAGUAGCUUGUAGGUGAGGUAACGGCUCACCUAGGCGACGAUCCCUAGCUGGUCUGAGAGGAUGACCAGCCACACUGGAACUGAGACACGGUCCAGACUCCGACGGGAGGCAGCAGUGGGGAAUAGUGCACAAUGGGCGCAAGCCUGAUGCAGCCAUGCCGCGUGUAUGAAGAAGGCUUUCGGGUCGUAAAGCCCUUUUGUUGGGAAAGCGGUACCCAAAGAAUAAGCACCGGCUAACUGCGUGCCAGCAGCCGCGGUAAUUC